rnacentral:rRNA from 1 species
GUGCUUGCACCUUUCAAGCGAGUGGCGAACGGGUGAGUAACACGUGGAUAACCUGCCUCAAGGCUGGGGAUAACAUUUGGAAACAGAUGCUAAUACCGAAUAAAACUUAGUAUCGCAUGAUACAAAGUUGAAAGGCGCUACGGCGUCACCUAGAGAUGGGUCCGCGGUGCAUUAGUUAGUUGGUGGGGUAAAGGCCUACCAAGACAAUGAUGCAUAGCCGAGUUGAGAGACUGAUCGGCCACAUUGGGACUGAGACACGGCCCAAACUCCUACGGGAGGCUGCAGUAGGGAAUCUUCCACAAUGGGCGAAAGCCUGAUGGAGCAACGCCGCGUGUGUGAUGAAGGCUUUAGGGUCGUAAAGCACUGUUGUAUGGGAAGAAAUGCUAGAAUAGGGAAUGAUUCUAGUUCGACGGUACCAUACCAGAAAGGGACGGCUAAAUACGUGCCAGCAGCCGCGGUAAUACGUAUGUCCCGAGCGUUAUCCGGAUUUAUUGGGCGUAAAGCGAGCGCAGACGGUUGAUUAAGUCUGAUGUGAAAGCCCGGAGCUCAACUCCGGAAUGGCAUUGGAAACUGGUUAACUUGAGUGUUGUAGAGGUAAGUGGAACUCCAUGGGUAAGCG